UCAUAUGCUUGUCUCAAAGAUUAAGCCAUGCAUGUCUAAGUACGUGCCUAAGAAAGGUGAAACCGCGAAUGGCUCAUUAAAUCAGUUAUGGUUCCUUAGAUCGUACCUUACUACUUGGAUAACUGUGGUAAUUCUAGAGCUAAUACAUGCAGCAGAGCUCCGACCUUCGGGGACGAGCGCUUUUAUUAGACCAAGACCAAUCGGACUUCGGUCCGAAGCUCAUGGUGACUCUGGAUAACUUUGGGCUGAUCGCACGGUCUCGUACCGGCGACGCAUCUUUCAAGUGUCUGCCUUAUCAACUUUCGAUGGUAGGUUAUGCGCCUACCAUGGUCGUAACGGGUAACGGGGAAUCAGGGUUCGAUUCCGGAGAGGGAGCCUGAGAAACGGCUACCACAUCCAAGGAAGGCAGCAGGCGCGCAAAUUACCCACUCCCGGCACGGGGAGGUAGUGACGAAAAAUAACAAUACGGGACUCUAUAGAGGCCCCGUAAUUGGAAUGAGUACACUCUAAAUCCUUUAACGAGGAUCUAUUGGAGGGCAAGUCUGGUG
rnacentral:rRNA from 1 species